rnacentral:rRNA from 1 species
AAAUAGAUACCCUGGUAGUCCACCCCGUAAACGUUGGGAACUAGUUGUGGGGUCCUUUCCACGGAUUCCGUGACGCAGCUAACGCAUUAAGUUCCCCGCCUGGGGAGUACGGCCGCAAGGCUAAAACUCAAAGGAAUUGACGGGGACCCGCACAAGCGGCGGAGCAUGCGGAUUAAUUCGAUGCAACGCGAAGAACCUUACCAAGGCUUGACAUACACCAGAACACCCUAGAAAUAGGGGACUCUUUGGACACUGGUGAACAGGUGGUGCAUGGUUGUCGUCAGCUCGUGUCGUGAGAUGUUGGGUUAAGUCCCGCAACGAGCGCAACCCUCGUUCUAUGUUGCCAGCACGUAAUGGUGGGAACUCAUGGGAUACUGCCGGGGUCAACUCGGAGGAAGGUGGGGAUGACGUCAAAUCGAUCAUGCCCCUUAUGUCUUGGGCUUCACGCAUGCUACAAUGGCCGGUACAAAGGGCUGCAAUACCGUGAGGUGGAGCGAAUCCCAAAAAGCCGGUCCCAGUUCGGAUUGAGGUCUGCAACUCGACCUCA